UGGGGAAUAUUGCACAAUGGGCGGAAGCCUGAUGCAGCGACGCCGCGUGAGGGAUGACGGCCUUCGGGUUGUAAACCUCUUUCAGCAGGGACGAAGCGAGAGUGACGGUACCUGCAGAAGAAGCGCCGGCCAACUACGUGCCAGCAGCCGCGGUAAGACGUAGGGCGCGAGCGUUGUCCGGAUUUAUUGGGCGUAAAGAGCUCGUAGGCGGCUUGUCGCGUCGUUCGUGAAAACCUGCAGCUCAACUGCAGGCUUGCGGGCGAUACGGGCAGGCUAGAGUUCGGUAGGGGAGACUGGAAUUCCUGGUGUAGCGGUGAAAUGCGCAGAUAUCAGGAGGAACACCGGUGGCGAAGGCGGGUCUCUGGGCCGAUACUGACGCUGAGGAGCGAAAGCGUGGGGAGCGAACA
rnacentral:rRNA from 1 species